CGGCCGUAAACUAUGCUCGCUAGGUGUCAGGCAUGGCGCGACCGUGUCUGGUGCCGCAGGGAAGCCGUGAAGCGAGCCACCUGGGAAGUACGGCCGCAAGGCUGAAACUUAAAGGAAUUGGCGGGGGAGCACAACAACGGGUGGAGCCUGCGGUUUAAUUGGACUCAACGCCGGACAACUCACCGGGGACGACAGCAAUAUGUAGGCCAGGCUGAAGACCUUGCCUGAAUCGCUGAGAGGAGGUGCAUGGCGUAGACGUCU
rnacentral:rRNA from 1 species